GAAGGUGCAUUGUAAAGUGUGCUGGAGGUAUCAGAAGUGCGAAUGCUGACAUGAGUAACGACAAAGGGAGUGAAAAACUCCCUCGCCGGAAGACCAAGGGUUCCUGUCCAACGUUAAUCGGGGCAGGGUGAGUCGACCCCUAAGGCGAGGCCGAAAGGCGUAGUCGAUGGGAAACGGGUUAAUAUUCCCGUACUUCUUACUAUUGCGAUGGGGGGACGGAGAAGGCUAGGUGAGCCUGGCGACGGUUGUCCAGGUCCAAGUACGUAGGUGGAUGAAUUAGGCAAAUCCGGUUCAUCAUUAACACUGAGAUACGAUGUCGAGCUACUACGGUAGCGAAGUCAUUGAUGCCAUGCUUCCGGGAAAAGCCUCUAAGCUUCAGAUAGUAAGAAAUCGUACCCCAAACCGACACAGGUGGUCGGGUAGAGAAUACCAAGGCGCUUGAGAGAACUCGGGUGAAGGAACUAGGCAAAAUGGUACCGUAACUUCGGGAGAAGGUACGCUCUUAACGGUGAAGUCCCUCGCGGAUGGAGCUGUCGAGAGUCGCAGAUACCAGGUGGCUGCAACUGUUUAUUAAAAACACAGCACUGUGCAAAAUCGAAAGAUGACGUAUACGGUGUGACGCCUGCCCGGUGCCGGAAGGUUAAUUGAUGGGGUUAGACGUAAGUCGAAGCUCUUGAUCGAAGCCCCGGUAAACGGCGGCCGUAACUAUAACGGUCCUAAGGUAGCGAAAUUCCUUGUCGGGUAAGUUCCGACCUGCACGAAUGGCGUAAUGAUGGCCACGCUGUCUCCACCCGAGACUCAGUGAAAUUGAAAUCGCUGUGAAGAUGCAGCGUACCCGCGGCUAGACGGAAAGACCCCGUGAACCUUUACUACAGCUUGGCACUGAACAUUGACCCUACAUGUGUAGGAUAGGUGGGAGACUUUGAAACGCAGACGCCAGUUUGCGUGGAGUCGUCCUUGAAAUACCACCCUUGUAGUGUUGAUGUUCUAACUUGGCCCCAU
rnacentral:rRNA from 1 species